AUUGAACGCUGGCGGCAUGCCUUACACAUGCAAAUCGAACGGUAACGGGCCUUCGGGUGCCGACGAGUGGCGAACGGGUGAGUAAUACAUCGGAACGUGCCCGAUCGUGGGGGAUAACGAGGCGAAAGCUUUGCUAAUACCGCAUACGAUCUACGGAUGAAAGUAGGGGACCGCAAGGCCUUGCGCGGACGGAGCGGCCGAUGGCAGAUUAGGUAGUUGGUGGGAUAAAAGCUUACCAAGCCGACGAUCUGUAGCUGGUCUGAGAGGAUGAUCAGCCACACUGGGACUGAGACACGGCCCAGACUCCUACGGGAGGCAGCAGUGGGGAAUUUUGGACAAUGGGCGCAAGCCUGAUCCAGCCAUGCCGCGUGCAGGAUGAAGGCCUUCGGGUUGUAAACUGAUUUUGUACGGAACGAAAAGCCUUCUUUUAAUACAGGAGGGUCAUGACGGUACCGUAAGAAUAAACACCGGCUAACUACGU
rnacentral:rRNA from 1 species